GAUGAACGCUGGCGGCGUGCCUAAUACAUGCAAGUCGAACGCAUUGUGGUUGAAAUGAUAUGAAGAACUUGUUCAGAUUUGAUUUUCAACAUUGCAAUGAGUGGCGAACGGGUGAGUAACACGUGGGAAACCUACCUCUUAGCAGGGGAUAACAUUUGGAAACAAAUGCUAAUACCGUAUAAUAAUUAAAAACCGCAUGGUUUUAGUUUAAAAGAUGGUCUUGCUAUCACUAAGAGGUGGUCCCGCGGUGUAUUAGUUAGUUGGUGAGGUAAUGGCUCACCAAGACAAUGAUACAUAGCCGAGUUGAGAGACUGACCGGCCACAAUGGGACUGAGACACGGCCCAUACUCCUACGGGAGGCAGCAGUAGGGAAUCUUCCACAAUGGACGAAAGUACUGAUGGAGCAACGCCGCGUGUGUGAUGAAGGGUUUCGGCUCGUAAAACACUGUUGUAAGAGAAGAAUGACAUUGAGAGUAACUGUUCAAUGUGUGACGGUAUCUUACC
rnacentral:rRNA from 1 species